AAGGUGGACGAGGAAGAUGUUGUCUCUCACAUCCUCACUAGACUCGAUGAGGAGUUCGACCCCGCUGUAUCUACCAUGUGUUCACGGGUCGAGCCUGUCAGGGUUCCGGAGCUGUACUCGCAGCUCCUAAGCUUCAAGA
rnacentral:snoRNA from 1 species